AUAAAUUAGUUUGAGGAGCAGAUGGUCGAACUCACGACUCCUAGUUUUGAAGCCAGACAGUGUUAUCACUGGGCCGCUUUGUCCAAACGUUUGUUUGCAACAGAAAUGUCAAAACUGGAAGUGAAAAUAAGGUUCGUUGGCAGCAUGGGCUAGAUCCCGUUACCCGUACAUAAUUGAUGGCGCUGUAGCUCCUAGUGCUCCAAUGGUUGUCCUGAUGGAAUUUCAAGAUUAUUAUGUCGCGGGUAGGAGAAGCUCUCGAUACUUAUAACAGUGACUGCACAAAGGAGAUAAGGAACACUACAACACGUAUGUAGGACUGGUUGGGGCACCCUGACAAGAGAAUCUUAAUGAAUAAAAUAUUCAGUUUGAAAUACUGUGUGUCAUACUUAUAGACUGACACACUUUUAAAUGGUGUAUGAAAUGUCUGGCCAAUUUUGUACUGUAGAAAAGAAACCAACCUGACAAUUCAGACAGUGUGUGACAUCAUGACCAUGAAAGUCGAGGUGACAGCAUACAACGUUACGCUGACGUUAAUUCACUCAUUCUGGAAACGUACGGGGAGCAGUGCCUAAAUCUUAGAUAUAAUAAACUGGCUCAUUCCCUCAAUCAUACAGACUGGAACAGCGUUUCUGCUGAAGGAAGUAGGCAAUGGUUUUACCAAACAUGUGCUGAGUUUGGUUGGGUUCAAAGUUCCUGGUCAAGAAAGAAACCUUUCGGUCAGUGGUUUCUUUUUCCGUUCAACAAAACCGCCAGCAACAUCCCCCUUCAUAGUCAUGGUCCUGAAUCUGUGGCAUAUUCUAAUGGUUGCAUGGUAAGUAGUGGGAGAUAUACGUUUUCCGUAAAAAAAAUCUCAAGUUCUUAUAGGAAUAAAAAUUGACAGCAAGAACUUUGAAUCAUUGCCGAGAUAUGUCAAAGCUGCGAUGCCUCAGAUCUAGACGGGAUGUGGCAGAUAUGACAUAAAACUUACUUUUAGACAUUGAAAAAUAAUUUUAACAUAUGAUGGUGCAGUUCUCAAUCUA
rnacentral:lncRNA from 1 species